GAUGGUGGCACUCAGGAUCCUCUGUAAUGGCUGCAGGGGAUGCCGCCACCCCAAGUGAGGUUGGGCAGUCCUAUGUGAAAGAACCGCCCCCAGCAGCAAGACCACCACCUAGGAAAGAGUCCCAGGCUCCACCUGGAAUGGCAGCCACACCAUGGAUCCUUCCAGCUCAUCCAACUCCUGUUUCACUGUCGGCUCUGCCAGUCCUGGUGCUGUGGUGCUCCUCUACUCAAAGGAGCUCAAAAAGUGGGAUGUGUUUGAAGAUAUCUUAGAAGAGAGGAGGCAUGCCAGUGACUUGAAAUUUGCAAUGAAAUGCUACAUACCUCUUGUCUAUAAGGGAAUAAUUCCAAGUAAGCAGAUUGAUAUUAAAUGUAGUGCUCUGAAUUCUGAAGAGAUUAAUUAUGUUAUUAAACAGCUUUCCAAAGAAUCCCUUCAGUCUGCUGAUGCCCUCCGAGAGAAAGUUAGUGAGAUCUUGGAUGAAAUGAGUCACAAACUGCAUCUGGGAACCAUUCGGUUUUUUGCCUUCACCCUAAGCAAAAUAUUUAAACAAAUUUUUUCAAAGGUGUGCCUAAAUGAAGAAGGUAUUCAGAAACUACAACAAGCCAUUCAAGAACAUCCUGUUGUUCUGCUGCCUAGUCAUCGAAGUUACGUUGACUUUCUGAUAUUGUCUUUUCUUUUGUACAACUAUGAUUUUCCUGUGCCAGUUAUAGCAGCAGAAAUGGACUUCCUGGGGAUGAAAAUGGUUAGUGAAUUUUUGAAUUUUUCCCCUAAAGCACAAGAAGCAGCACUGCCUAGACAUUGCCUCCUAAAUUUGGUCUUCUGA